UACGUAGGGCGCAAGCGUUGUCCGGAAUUAUUGGGCGUAAAGAGCUCGUAGGCGGUUUGUCGCGUCUGCUGUGAAAACCUGAGGCUCAACCUCGGGCUUGCAGUGGGUACGGGCAGACUAGAGUGCGGUAGGGGUGACUGGAAUUCCUGGUGUAGCGGUGAAAUGCGUAGAUAUCAGGAGGAAUACCGGUGGCGAAAGCGACUCUCUGGACGGCAACUGACGCUGAGGCACGAAAGCGUGGGGAGCAAACAGG
rnacentral:rRNA from 1 species